UGAGAGUUUGAUCAUGGCUCAGGACAAACGCUGGCGGCGUACCUAAGACAUGCAAGUCGAACGGAUGAGCAGUCUUUCGGGACUGCUUGUGAGUGGCGGAUGGGUGAGUAACGCGUAGGAACCUGUCACGGCGUGGGGGAUACCGCUGGGAAACCGGCGCUAAUACCGCAUGUGGUCAGCAAUGACGAAAGCAGCAAUGCGCGCUGUGAGCGGCCCGCGUUGGAUUAGCUAGUUGGUGGGGUAAAGGCCCACCAAGGCUACGAUCCAUAGCUGGUCUGAGAGGAUGAUCAGCCACACUGGGACUGAGACACGGCCCAGACUCCUACGGGAGGCAGCAGUAGGGAAUCUUGCGCAAUGGGCGAAAGCCUGACGCAGCCAUGCCGCGUGAAUGAUGAAGGUCUUAGGAUUGUAAAAUUCUUUCACCGGGGAAGAUAAUGACGGUACCCGGAGAAGAAGCCCCGGCUAACUUCGUGCCAGCAGCCGCGGU
rnacentral:rRNA from 1 species